rnacentral:lncRNA from 10 species
ACUUUGGGAGGCCGAGGUGGGUGGGUCGCUUGACCCUAGGAGUUCAAGACCAGCCUGAGCAACAUGGCAAAACCCCAUUUCUACAAAAAAAUAGUAAAGUGAGCCAAGCGUGGUGGUGCGGGCCUGUAGUCCCAGCUACUUAUGAAGGAAGUGGGAGAAUGCCUUUAGCCAAGAUCGCGCCACUGCACUCCAGCCUGGGCAACAGAGCAGACUCUUACUUGAAAGAAAGGUUCAUAUUUCACUCAAAAUAGUGUACUUGUGUACCUACAGUAACAUUUUUCUACUUAAUGUUAUUAGCAUUGUCACCCUUAAUACUGCAAUUUAACAAUCUGCUUUGUGCCUGUUGUUCCUCAGUCAUCUUCGAAAUGUCUUUUACAGCUGAUAUGUUCAAACCUGACUCAGUCGAGGGUCUCUCCUCAUUAUUAUUUACAAGUUGGCUUUGUUUCUUCUUCCUUCUCUCAAUAAGUUCUUCCAGGGGAUUUGUGUCUUGGCAGCUUUCUCUGUUUAUGGGUUAUGUGCAGAUGUAGGCAGUGCUAAAGAAACCUGCAAACAGUGGGGGAUGAACACCGGGGACAUCUUCAUGUAGUGCAUUUGGGGUCCUACCCAUCCCAUGAGGACAGUCCCCCGAGGACCUGUGACACUGGGGAGGUUGGGG